AUAGCAAAUGAUGAUAAUUGUUUUUAUCUUUUCACACUGAGAUUCUGUGAAGACCAAAAAAUCCACUUAUUAUCUGAUGUCUUA
rfam:Cicer arietinum chromosome Ca5, whole genome shotgun sequence.